GAUGAACGCUGGCGGCGUGCCUAAUACAUGCAAGUCGAGCGAACGGACGAGAAGCUUGCUUCUCUGAUGUUAGCGGCGGACGGGUGAGUAACACAUGGAUAACCUACCUAUAAGACUGGGAUAACUUCGGGAAACCGGAGCUAAUACCGGAUAAUAUUUUGAACCGCAUGGUUCAAAAGUGAAAGACGGUCUUGCUGUCACUUAUAGAUGGAUCCGCGCUGCAUUAGCUAGUUGGUAAGGUAACGGCUUACCAAGGCAACGAUGCAUAGCCGACCUGAGAGGGUGAUCGGCCACACUGGAACUGAGACACGGUCCAGACUCCUACGGGAGGCAGCAGUAGGGAAUCUUCCGCAAUGGGCGAAAGCCUGACGGAGCAACGCCGCGUGAGUGAUGAAGGUCUUCGGAUCGUAAAACUCUGUUAUUAGGGAAGAACAUAUGUGUAAGUAACUGUGCACAUCUUGACGGUACCUAAUCAGAAAGCCACGGCUAACUACGUGCCAGCAGCCGCGGUAAUACGUAGGUGGCAAGCGUUAUCCGGAAUUAUUGGGCGUAAAGCGCGCGUAGGCGGUUUUUUAAGUCUGAUGUGAAAGCCCACGGCUCAACCGUGGAGGGUCAUUGGAAACUGGAAAACUUGAGUGCAGAAGAGGAAAGUGGAAUUCCAUGUGUAGCGGUGAAAUGCGCAGAGAUAUGGAGGAACACCAGUGGCGAAGGCGACUUUCUGGUCUGUAACUGACGCUGAUGUGCGAAAGCGUGGGGAUCAAACAGGAUUAGAUACCCUGGUAGUCCACGCCGUAAACGAUGAGUGCUAAGUGUUAGGGGGUUUCCGCCCCUUAGUGCUGCAGCUAACGCAUUAAGCACUCCGCCUGGGGAGUACGACCGCAAGGUUGAAACUCAAAGGAAUUGACGGGGACCCGCACAAGCGGUGGAGCAUGUGGUUUAAUUCGAAGCAACGCGAAGAACCUUACCAAAUCUUGACAUCCUUUGACAACUCUAGAGAUAGAGCCUUCCCCUUCGGGGGGCAAAGUGACAGGUGGUGCAUGGUUGUCGUCAGCUCGUGUCGUGAGAUGUUGGGUUAAGUCCCGCAACGAGCGCAACCCUUAAGCUUAGUUGCCAUCAUUAAGUUGGGCACUCUAAGUUGACUGCCGGUGACAAACCGGAGGAAGGUGGGGAUGACGUCAAAUCAUCAUGCCCCUUAUGAUUUGGGCUACACACGUGCUACAAUGGACAAUACAAAGGGCAGCGAAACCGCGAGGUCAAGCAAAUCCCAUAAAGUUGUUCUCAGUUCGGAUUGUAGUCUGCAACUCGACUACAUGAAGCUGGAAUCGCUAGUAAUCGUAGAUCAGCAUGCUACGGUGAAUACGUUCCCGGGUCU
rnacentral:rRNA from 1 species